UACGUAGGGGGCGAGCGUUGUCCGGAUUCAUUGGGCGUAAAGAGCUCGUAGGCGGCUGAUUAAGUCAGGUGUGAAACCUCCAGGCUCAACCUGGAGUCGCCACCUGAUACUGGUCUGGCUAGAGUCCGGUAGGGGACCACGGAAUUCCUGGUGUAGCGGUGAAAUGCGCAGAUAUCAGGAAGAACACCCGUGGCGAAGGCGGCUCCCUGGGCCGAUACUGACGCUGAGGAGCGAAAGCGUGGGGAGCGAACAGG
rnacentral:rRNA from 1 species